AUACUUCAGCAGCAUGUGUACCCAGAUUAAAAAAAUACAGGAAGAUUAGCAUGGCACCUGUGCAAAGAUGACAUGCAAAUUCUUGUAUGCUUCUCAUUUUAC
ensembl:snRNA U6 U6 spliceosomal RNA